GGUUCCAUGGUGUAGUGGUUAGCACGUCUGCCUUACACGCAGAAGAUCCUGGGUUCAAUUCCCAGUGGAACUA
rnacentral:tRNA from 2 species